UCUACCCUGUGUUUCUCUCUGACUUUCAGAUCCCCAUCACUCCCAGCCAGACUAAGGGCUGGCUUGGGGUCAGAGCUGGAUUUUACUCCGACUGUCUGUCAUAGUUCCAGUAAAUAUCUGCUUUAAUCAAGAUAAGAUGAGGUCAUACUGGAUUAGUCCAAGACUGCUGUCCAUAGAGGAAGAGGGAAGCUUGGAUGCACACACAGGAGGAAGGCUGUGUGACCACUGCUGCAGAGCCUGGAGUCAUCCUGCCUCAAGCCGAGGAAUGCUGGCCGCCAGUGGAAGUUAGGAGAAAGCAUUUGGUAACCAAACCGACGGAGUUUGAAGGAACUGGGAGUUUUCUGAAGGCAGUGGCUUCAUCAGAUGUGCGCUGCUUUCCCCAGAGGAGCACGGUCUCACCUAGAGAGCCAUCGUCUGCUAAGGAUCGGGGUCAAGGUGAAGACGUGAGGUAGACAGACUUUCUCAGUGACCCGAGGAAAGACCUGAGGUCAGGAAACUGAGGUCCAAGAGUUAUGAAAAUGUCGUCUGUUCAGCAGAUACUGACUUCAAACCUUUUGAGAACCAAGACUCAGAACCAGAACACAAGGAGCCAGGAGCUGGAAUAGGAGCAACUGGAUCCACCCAGCGUUCUUUCCUGAGCUGUGCUGCUCCCUUCAGGCUCUGUCUCAGAGACUCUAUCCAGUUCCCCAAGCCACAUACCCUGGAGUCGAUUUGGACUCCCUCCCCCGGUGUUACUGAGAGAAUCCACCUCUCGACGAUGCCACUUCCGCCAUCCACAUGCCAUCUGCAAUUCAGACCACGAUUCCUCUUGCCUGCAUUUCUGCCACUAAUUGGUCUCCACAGCUCUGGUUUUAUUUCCCUCAAAUGCAUUUCCCACACAGCUGCCAGGGUAAAUUUUCUGACAUGUAAAUAUAUAAUAUGUAAACUCGA